UCCGCGCUUGGACGAAGACCUUGAACCGACCUUUAAACAGAGAGCCUCCUCACACACACACACACGCACACAUCCCCCCCCCAACCUCCUCUCGCUCUCAUCACAGCGUCGUUCUUCCCUCGUAUUCUCGCAACAACCAAGGCGAGUGCGCACAUCCGCGAACUCCUCGGCAGCAUAGAGGAAAGGAGAACGGUGAGAGGAUGGUGGCACUCACGGGCAAAUGACAGGUAUAGAGGAGAGGGGCCACGACCCCACCACCACCAUCACCGCAGCAGCAGCACGAGAGGGGCACACGCAUGCACGGCGACUCACAUACCCGGCACACACGCAAACAGGUGAAGGGCAAGUGCCCUGUAGCGGAGGCUGUCGGCGAACAAUCCCACAUUCAUCGUCUCCUACGCCCCCCUUCUUCUGUCGUUUCCCUUGCAGCAGCUUGGUGGUGGCCUUUCUUACAACCGAAGCCCUACAGUCCCACGCCACCGCUGCCCGCCCACACCCACCCUUCGUGCUCGGUACUGGUGAUCUCAACUCCUGCUGCUGCUGUCGCUGCCGCUGCUAUCAAGCUAACCGCUUCAUUUGUUUCUUGCUUCCGCCUCGUUCACACAAGCACAGAGGCAUACUCACAUCAGCAGCAGCGCCUACCCUGCUUGCUGGGGGGAGGCCCCAGACACAUACGCCCUCGCGCGUGCGUGCGCCUCCUUCGGUGCUGUUGCUGUUUUCGAAGAGAGGUAUGCAGAUGUCUGUGUGUGUGUGCGUGUGUCUCUACGUGUGUGCGUACGCGGGGAAAGGGGCAGCGGCGCACAAUAUGAACCCACCCCAUGAAGAUGGACGCC
rnacentral:misc_RNA from 1 species